rnacentral:rRNA from 1 species
UAGGGAAUCUUCCGCAAUGGGCGAAAGCCUGACGGAGCAACGCCGCGUGAGUGAUGAAGGUCUUCGGAUCGUAAAACUCUGUUAUUAGGGAAGAACAAAUGUGUAAGUAACUAUGCACGUCUUGACGGUACCUAAUCAGAAAGCCACGGCUAACUACGUGCCAGCAGCCGCGGUAAUACGUAGGUGGCAAGCGUUAUCCGGAAUUAUUGGGCGUAAAGCGCGCGUAGGCGGUUUUUUAAGUCUGAUGUGAAAGCCCACGGCUCAACCGUGGAGGGUCAUUGGAAACUGGAAAACGUGAGUGCAGAAGAGGAAAGUGGAAUUCCAUGUGUAGCGGUGAAAUGCGCAGGGAUAUGGAGGAACACCAGUGGCGAAGGCGACUUUCUGGUCUGUAACUGACGCUGAUGUGCGAAAGCGUGGGGAUCAAACAGG